rnacentral:rRNA from 1 species
CCUACGGGAUGCAGCAGUGAGGAAUAUUGGUCAAUGGGCGCAAGCCUGAACCAGCCAAGUCGCGUGAGGGAUGACGGUCCUAUGGAUUGUAAACCUCUUUUGUCGGGGAGCAAGGCCCGCCACGUGUGGCGGGAAGGAGAGUACCCGAAGAAAAAGCAUCGGCUAACUCCGUGCCAGCAGCCGCGGUCAUACGGAGGAUGCGAGCGUUAUCCGGAUUUAUUGGGUUUAAAGGGUGCGUAGGCGGAAGGUUGAGUCAGCGGUAAAAUGUCGGUGCUCAACACCGGCCUGCCGUUGAAACUGGUCUUCUUGAGGGGGCGAGAAGUAUGCGGAAUGCGUGGUGUAGCGGUGAAAUGCAUAGAUAUCACGCAGAACUCCGAUUGCGAAGGCAGCAUACCGGCGCCCGACUGACGCUGAGGCACGAAAGCGUGGGGAUCGAACAGGAUUAGAUACCCCAGUAGUC